UACGGAGGGGGCUAGCGUUGUUCGGAAUCACUGGGCGUAAAGCGCACGUAGGCGGCUUCUUAAGUCAGGGGUGAAAUCCUGGAGCUCAACUCCAGAACUGCCUUUGAUACUGGGAGGCUCGAGUCCGGGAGAGGUGAGUGGAACUGCGAGUGUAGAGGUGAAAUUCGUAGAUAUUCGCAAGAACACCAGUGGCGAAGGCGGCUCACUGGCCCGGUACUGACGCUGAGGUGCGAAAGCGUGGGGAGCAACAGGG
rnacentral:rRNA from 1 species